AGGCAAGUCUGGUGCCAGCAGCCGCGGUAAUUCCAGCUCCAAUAGCGUAUAUUAAAGUUGUUGCGGUUAAAAAGCUCGUAGUUGGAUCUCAGCUCACGCUAAGUGGUCCACUUAAUGGUGGUUACUACUUAGCUGAGCAUUUUACAGAUUUGUCUCUUGAUGCUCUUCACCGAGUGUCAAGAGUGGUCUGUACGUUUACUUUGAAAAAAUUAGAGUGCUUAAAGCAGGCAACUCGCCCGAAUAAUCUUGCAUGGAAUAAUGGAAUAGGACCUUGGUUCUAUUUUGUUGGUCUCCGGAAUCUGAGGUAAUGAUUAAGAGGGACAGACGGGGGCAUUCGUAUUGCGCCGCUAGAGGUGAAAUUCUUGGACCGGCGCAAGACGAACUACAGCGAAAGCAUUUGCCAAGAAUGUUUUCAUAAUCAAGAACGAAAGUAGAGGUUCGAAGGCGAUCAGAUACCGCCCUAGUUCUAACCAUAA
rnacentral:rRNA from 1 species